AGGAAGUUCCCACCGUAGUGCCACCCCAGAACCACGCGAGUCAGGAGUUGCGAGGAUUCUAGGGAAAAUUCUAGAGAUCAUGACGGAGAGCAGAGAUGCCCAGCGUGUCAACAUGGAGCACACCAGAUUCAGGUACCCUGGAUUCUCCUAAUUUUUGUCCCCCCUUAGUUUUUUUUUUUUUUUCAUUUUUGUGUGUUUUUGUUUUUGUCUUUGUGUGUGUUUUGUGUGUGUGUCGUCUGUUUUCCCCUCCCUACUUUGGCUUGCCACUUUGCCUAAGGCAAAGUGUGUGAGUGGGAAGGGAGAUUGUCCUGUUUGUUUUUUUCUUUCUUUCUUUUAUUUUUGUGUCGUGUCUUUGCCUUCCUAUUCACACCCUUUGCCCAAAGGAAAGUGUGUGAUUGGGAAGGCACCAGUCGAGGUUAUGGGAUGUCCUCGGUUUGGGACCCUCAUACUCAAGCACUUAGCUUUGGCCAAAGUGUGUGAGUGUGAGGGCCUCUACGCUGUCCCAUUUUUAAUUUGAUUGUUUGUCCGAGUCUGACUAAGCAUGAAGUGUGAUUU
rnacentral:lncRNA from 1 species